CCUACGGGAGGCAGCAGUGAGGAAUAUUGGUCAAUGGACGGAAGUCUGAACCAGCCAUGCCGCGUGCAGGAAGACGGCGCUAUGAGUUGUAAACUGCUUUUGUACAAGGGUAAACCAGAAUACGUGUAUUCAGCUGAAAGUACGGUACGAAUAAGGAUCGGCUAACGCCGUGCCAGCAGCCGCGGUAAUACGGAGGAUCCAAGCGUUAUCCGGAUUUAUUGGGUUUAAAGGGUGCGUAGGCGGAUUGCUAAGUUAGAGGUGAAAUGUCCGAGCUUAACUCGGGAACUGCCUCUCAUACUGUUGAUCUAGAGCGUAGCUGCGGUAGGCUGACUGUCUGGUGUAGCGGUGACAUGCUU
rnacentral:rRNA from 1 species